GUGUCAGCCGCCGCGGUAAUACGGAGGGGGCUAGCGUUGUUCGGAAUUACUGGGCGUAAAGCGCACGUAGGCGGACCAGAAAGUUGGGGGUGAAAUCCCGGGGCUCAACCUCGGAACUGCCUUCAAAACUAUUGGUCUUGAGUUCGAGAGAGGUGAGUGGAAUUCCGAGUGUAGAGGUGAAAUUCGUAGAUAUUCGGAGGAACACCAGUGGCGAAGGCGGCUCACUGGCUCGAUACUGACGCUGAGGUGCGAAAGCGUGGGGAGCAAACAGGAUUAGAUACCCCAGUAGUCC
rnacentral:rRNA from 1 species